AAUGCAAAACUCAGAUCUCAUAUCAAAAUCGGAGGAUCUAUACCCCAACUACUGAGAUGGAAGAAAGACUUCAGUUGUCAGCUUCUUACUGCCUUAGCUGAAGGCCACGCCCCUUCCAAAGGCUGCCUGCCUCCAGUGAUUGAUCUCUAUGGGGAUUUAAUAGCAUGGACAGCUCUGAAGAGACAGCUCUCAAAACUCCCUAUAGGCUGCAUCAUGAAUGCGUUCCAAGCCAGCCAUGAGAAUCUAAUUUUGACAAGAUCACCAAAAUUUUGGGGAGCCGAAAGGUCAUUAGAAGGGUCGUCAGUCCAUGGGAGAGAGCAGCUGGGAAGCCAUUGUGAAAACCAGGCAAGAAGUGAUGCCAGUUUUGACCAGGUUGAUUCAAAGUAUCCAAAACCAUUGCUAAUCUCUCCUCUGAGUUAAGAGGAAUAAAGUUUCUAUAUAACUGUUUUCUGGGAGGUAG
rnacentral:lncRNA from 13 species